UGACUUAGAAACAGAGUUCUCAGGACAGU
rnacentral:piRNA from 1 species